CACGGGGGGAGCAAGCGUUGUUCGGAUUCAUUGGGCGUAAAGAGCUCGUAGGUGGCUUUGUAAGUCGGAGGUGAAAUCCCUCGGCUUAACCGGGGAACUGCGUCUGAUACUGGAUGGCUUGAGUUCGGGAGAGGGAUGCGGAAUUCCAGGUGUAGCGGUGAAAUGCGUAGAUAUCGGGAGGAACACCUGUGGCGAAAGCGGCGCACUGGACCACAACUGACGCUGAGGCGCGAAAGCUAGGGGAGCAAACAGG
rnacentral:rRNA from 1 species